rnacentral:tRNA from 1 species
UCCCUGGUAGUCUAGUGGUUAGGACUUAGCACUUUUACUACCUCGGACUGAGUUCAAUUCCUGGUCAGGGAA